GGGGGAUGUAAUAUCAUGUUAAAAAAAUUUGGGUGCUGAAUCUUGGGUGAUUUGUUCCAGUUCAAAAAGGUCAAAUUUUAUCACGUCUGAAGCUGUCAAUCUGAAUUUUACACUACUCAACACAGAAUUGUCAAUAUUUUGAGUUUGAGCUGGUAGAAGUUUCUAUAAUUUUGAUAUUAUUUGUCUCACUGGUAGUACACUACACUGUAAAAAUCUUUUUGAGAAAGAGCAGGUGCGAUUUUUUAAAUUUGAAUUUAUUGUCUAAAAGAAAUGCACUACGAAAUAACUGUGUUCUUUGGCAAAAUGAAGUGGGUGGUAAACAGGAUUUUCCUUGACCAAAUUGACAUGUAAACAUUAAAAAAUAACAUAGAAAAUAUGAUAAACAAAUCCAUCAAUUCAACAUUACCA
rnacentral:lncRNA from 1 species